UAACGGCCCACCAUGGCGACGAUCGGUAGCCGGACUGAGAGGUUGAUCGGCCACAUUGGGACUGAGACACGGCCCAGACUCCUACGGGAGGCAGCAGUGGGGGAUAUUGCACAAUGGGGGAAACCCUGAUGCAGCGACGCCGCGUGAGGGAAGAAGGUUUUCGGAUUGUAAACCUCUGUCCUCAGUGACGAUAAUGACGGUAGCUGAGGAGGAAGCCACGGCUAACUAC
rnacentral:rRNA from 1 species